UUCGCAAUGCCCGAAAGGGUGACGAAGCGACGCCGCGUGGGUGAGGAAGGCCUUCGGGUUGUAAAGCCCUGUCAGGAGUUAAGAAAUGUAGACUCGCUAAUAUCGGGUCUAUUUGACAAAGGCUCCAAAGGAAGCCACGGCUAACUCUGUGCCAGCAGCCGCGGUAAUACAGAGGUGGCAAGCGUUGUUCGGAAUUAUUGGGCGUAAAGAGCACGUAGGUGGAUUUGUAAGUCAGACGUGAAAGCCUUCUGUUCAACGGAAGAAUUGCAUCUGAAACUGCGAGUCUUGAGUGUAGGAGGGGAGAAUGGAACUUCUGGUGGAGCGGUGAAAUGCGUAGAUAUCAGAAGGAACGCCGGCGGCGAAAGCGAUUCUCUGGCCUAUUACUGACACUCAGUGUGCGAAAGCUAGGGGAGCAAACGGGAUUAGAUACCCCGGUAGUCCUAGCCGUAAACGAUGGGCACUAAGUAGAGGGGUUUU
rnacentral:rRNA from 2 species